rnacentral:lncRNA from 1 species
UUCCAGAUUAGCGAUGAUUGCCUUCUGCUCCUCAAUUGUUUUCAACCCUUCUUCACACUUAACACCAAUCUCAGAGAUUUUUGUUAGAUUGACAAUUCUUUUAGUUUGCAACUUUGAGAUUGUCUCCUUUUGUUUUUCUGAGAUUCUGCAGACUUCUUCACUCCUUAGACACAGCUCCUUGUAUGAUUCAGCAAGUUCAUCAAAGGUCAGCUCUUCAUCACAUGAUUCAGUGUCAGAUGUGCAUACACCUGUCAGUGCAUGAAUAGACUUUGCAGUAUCAGUUUCUCCUUCAGAAUCCUCAUCUGACCAUGAAACAGUUGACCCCUUUUUCUGUUUCUUCAAGAAGGUUG